GGCGUGGGGGCGUGCUUACCAUGCAAGUCGAACGAUGAACCGCUUUCGGGCGGGGAUUAGUGGCGAACGGGUGAGUAACACGUGGGCAAUCUGCCCUGCACUCUGGGACAAGCCCUGGAAACGGGGUCUAAUACCGGAUAUGACUGUCCAUCGCAUGGUGGAUGGUGUAAAGCUCCGGCGGUGCAGGAUGAGCCCGCGGCCUAUCAGCUUGUUGGUGAGGUAGUGGCUCACCAAGGCGACGACGGGUAGCCGGCCUGAGAGGGCGACCGGCCACACUGGGACUGAGACACGGCCCAGACUCCUACGGGAGGCAGCAGUGGGGAAUAUUGCACAAUGGGCGAAAGCCUGAUGCAGCGACGCCGCGUGAGGGAUGACGGCCUUCGGGUUGUAAACCUCUUUCAGCAGGGAAGAAGCGAAAGUGACGGUACCUGCAGAAGAAGCGCCGGCUAACUACGUGCCAGCAGCCGCGGUAAUACGUAGGGCGCAAGCGUUGUCCGGAAUUAUUGGGCGUAAAGAGCUCGUAGGCGGCUUGUCACGUCGGUUGUGAAAGCCCGGGGCUUAACCCCGGGUCUGCAGUCGAUACGGGCAGGCUAGAGUUCGGUAGGGGAGAUCGGAAUUCCUGGUGUAGCGGUGAAAUGCGCAUAUAUCAGGAGGAACACCGGUGGCGAAGGCGGAUCUCUGGGCCGAUACUGACACUGAGGAGCGAAAGCGUGGGGAGCGAACAGGAUUAGAUACCCUGGUAGUCCACGCCGUAAACGGUGGGCACUAGGUGUGGGGCAACAUUCCACGUUGUCCGUGCCGCAACUAACGCAUUAAGUGCCCCGCCUGGGGAGUACCGCCGCAGGGCUAAACUCAAAGGAUUUGACGGGGGCCCGCACAGCGGCGGAGAUGUGGCUUAAUUCUACGCACGCAAAGAACUUACCAGGCUUGACAUACACCGGAACCUCUGAGCAGCGCCCCCCUGUAGUCGGUGUAAGAGUGGUGCAA
rnacentral:rRNA from 1 species